rnacentral:lncRNA from 1 species
GGAAAUUUGAAUGUGUCUCUCUUUUUGGGAAAUAUAUCAUCUUUUUUCUUUUUGUAAUUACAUGUUGGGAGCAAUGCCCUUGAAACCCUCCAUUAUUGAUGUUAUGGUUAGAAUUAAGUAUGACUGGGUUCAUGGAAAAUCCCCAGCCAGCUGCAGAAGACUAAUACAAAUCUGGUGGUCAGGAUGAAUAAUGAUAUGAUAAAGUUCUGACCUUGCUGAGAAAUACAUCUGACAUCAAGAUACCCAAUGUGAUGACCUGUAACCUUUCUGAAAAACCAACAUCCUGCUGACUAAUAGAUAUGACAAACCUGUGACUUUUCUGACAACCUGUCAACAUCAGCCUACUCCCUG